rnacentral:sRNA from 1 species
CUCGAGUGCACCCAGCUUCUUGCUUUCAGUCCCCCCCUUGGCCCUAGCAGUGGUGUCUCUCCUUUCCUGUCCACUGACUCCUGUUGCCAAGAGGGCAGGAAGGCUGUGUCUCUCAGGCUUUGCACAAUGACUGGGUGGUGUCUGUUACAGGCUGGAUCCAGACCCCUUUGUGCGGCACACCUUCUGGACCUUGGCCUUCGGGGGUGUCUUCAUGAUGCUCUCCUUAUACGGGGUGAACCAGGCUCAGGUGCAGCGGUACCUCAGUUCCCGCACGGAGAAGGCUGCUGUGCUCUCCUGUUAUGCAGUGUUCCCCUUCCAGCAGGUGUCCCUCUGCGUGGGCUGCCUCAUUGGCCUGGUCAUGUUCGCGUAUUACCAGGAGUAUCCCAUGAGCAUUCAGCAGGCUCAGGCAGCCCCAGACCAGUUCGUCCUGUACUUUGUGAUGGAUCUCCUGAAGGGCCUGCCGGGCCUGCCAGGGCUCUUCAUUGCCUGCCUCUUCAGCGGCUCUCUCAGCACUAUAUCCUCUGCUUUUAAUUCAUUGGCAACUGUUACGAUGGAAGACCUGAUUCGACCUUGGUUCCCUGAGUUCUCUGAAGCCCGGGCCAUCAUGCUUUCCAGAGGCCUUGCCUUUGGCUAUGGGCUGCUUUGUCUAGGAAUGGCCUAUAUUUCCUCCCAGAUGGGACCUGUGCUGCAGGCAGCAAUCAGCAUCUUUGGCAUGGUUGGGGGACCGCUGCUGGGACUCUUCUGCCUUGGAAUGUUCUUUCCAUGUGCUAACCCUCCUGGUGCUGUUGUGGGCCUGUUGGCUGGGCUCGUCAUGGCCUUCUGGAUUGGCAUUGGGAGCAUCG